rnacentral:sRNA from 1 species
UUCUAUAUAAACUUCAGAAUUCAAUAAUGUCAGUGUAUAUCUUUAAAACAAAUUUCUCAGUUAAAACCAAAUAGGACAUAGUGAUUUACUUUAAACGUCAAGCAUCUUUCAGAUCAAACUGUCAUAUGUUGUGUUGCCAGGAACGGGUAAAACGACAUUUAUCAGAAUGCUUGCUGGAAGACUUAAACCUGAUGAAGGAGGUACAUUUGUAACUGUUGAGUCUUUUUACUCUGUUUUACACAGUAAACUAAAGAUCUGGGCAGUUUUUAGUGUCUUAUGUAUUUCAUUAUUUUGCAGGAGAAGUACCAGUUCUAAAUGUCAGUUAUAAGCCACAGAAAAUUAGUCCCAAAUCAACUGGAAGUGUUCGCCAGUUACUACAUGAAAAGAUAAGAGAUGCUUAUACUCACCCACAAUUUGUGACCGAUGUAAUGAAGCCUCUGCAAAUUGAAAACAUCAUUGAUCAAGAGGUGCAGACAUUAUCUGGUGGUGAACUACAGCGAGUAGCUUUAGCCCUUUGUUUGGGCAAACCUGCUGAUGUCUAUUUAAUUGAUGAACCAUCUGCAUAUUUGGAUUCUGAGCA